rnacentral:lncRNA from 1 species
GAGAAGACAACCCAGUCACCGGGGAGUCGACUGCCGCCACUCGCCGCCGCACCGGAGCAAUUUUUGACUGCCAAACGAGGUAAAAAUUUUCUCUCUUACACAAAAUUCAAUUUUAAACCCACCCAUGGCUAAAUCAGAGUGAAAGAACCUACAAAUUAGCCAAAAAAUGCCGCCGCGGGGUGUUUCAAAAAAUGCCUCUGAUGAGGCCCUUCCCGAUUCCCAUUCGGUGUGAUUUUUCU